GGCAAUUUUUCUUAAUGGCUGGAGUACUGGUCUUGAAACCAAGAUGAUCAGGGUUCAAAUCCCAGGUUUGUCA
rnacentral:tRNA from 1 species